rnacentral:rRNA from 1 species
CAAAAGAAGUAGGUAGUUUAACCUUAGGGGGGACGCUUACCACUUUGUGGUUCAUGACUGGGGUGAAGUCGUAACAAGGUAGCGCUAGGGGAACCUGGCGCUGGAUCACCUCCUUAAACGAUGAU